AACCUCUUUUUUCAGGGAGGAAUCAAUGACGUGUACCUGAAGAAUAAGCAUCGGCUAACUCCGUGCCAGCAGCCGCGGUAAGACGGAGGAUGCAAGUGUUAUCCGGAAUCACUGGGCGUAAAGCGUCUGUAGGUGGUUUAAUAAGUCAACUGUUAAAUCUUGAGGCUCAACUUCAAAAUCGCAGUCGAAACUAUUAGACUAGAGUAUAGUAGAGGUAAAGGGAAUUUCCAGUGGAGCGGUGAAAUGCGUAGAUAUUGGAAAGAACACCGAUGGCGAAAGCACUUUACUGGGCUAUUACUAACACUCAGAGACGAAAGCUAGGGUAGCAAAUGGGAUUAGAUACCCCAGUAGUCCUAGCCGUAAACAAUGGAUACUAGAUGUUGAACAGAUCGACCUGUGCAGUAUCAAAGCUAACGCG
rnacentral:rRNA from 1 species